rnacentral:misc_RNA from 1 species
AACGGUCUAUACCUGCGGUACCUGCGGAAGGAUCAUUAUCAAUUUACAGCGGACUUCGGUCCUGUCUGCACCCUUGUCUUUUGCGUACUAUAUGUUUCCUCGGUGGGCUUGCCUGCCGAUAGGACACUUAUAAACUCUUUUGUAAUUGCAAACAGCGUCAGAAAACUAUAAUAGUUACAACUUUCAACAACGGAUCUCU